rnacentral:misc_RNA from 1 species
GACCUUUGCAUCUUUCCCUCACGUAUAUGUGCGU